rnacentral:rRNA from 1 species
UCGGGAAUUUUGGGCAAUGGGCGAAAGCCUGACCCAGCAACGCCGCGUGAGGGAUGAAGUAUUUCGGUAUGUAAACCUCGAAAGAAUGGGAAGAAUAAAUGACGGUACCAUUUAUAAGCUCCGGCUAACUACGUGCCAGCAGCCGCGGUAAUACGUAGGGAGCAAGCGUUGUUCGGAUUUACUGGGCGUAAAGGGCGCGUAGGCGGCGCGGUAAGUCACUUGUGAAAUCUCUGAGCUUAACUCAGAACGGCCAAGUGAUACUGCUGUGCUAGAGUGCGGAAGAGGCAACCAGAAUUCUUGGUGUAGCGGUGAAAUGCGUAGAUAUCAAGAGGAACACCUGAGGCGAAGGCGGGUUGCUGGGCCGACACUGACGCUGAUGCGCGAAAGCCAGGGGAGCAAACG